UUUAUCCUCUGUCGUCAUGCUGAAGGCUAUGCCAGUAAUCUUUGGCUCCAAUAAUGCACUUUCUUUGUUCAUGUAUUUAUGCCUAUCCGUUUCAGUCUUUGCUAGUAGUGAGCUCAUCUAUGAAAAUGAGAUGACAAUAUGAGAAAACGAUAAAUUCCCUUUCUGUUCAACAAAGAUUGCAAAACAAUAAUCAUCAAUGCGAAAUUCGUCUACUUCCUAACUCUUAAUUCCACGAUUUGACCCCAUGGGUCGGCACUUCUUGCAAAUAUCUUCACCAAAUUUUCAGUUUAACCCUAGCUUUUUCCACUUGCAAUCAAUUCAACUGCUCACAUUGUGAAAAUCAAGAAAAACGACAGCUCUCUAUUGAACAGUAACAUGAGUUCGUAAUUGCUGGCAAAAGUUUCUCCAUUAUUUGCACAUACCCAGAUAUUCUUAGAUGGAGAUUCUUGCUUAGCAAGAGAAAAAAGAGUAAGCUGGCAAAGACCCACUUCAGAAUUAGUACAGAAAUCUAAACGGCAUGAAGAAGAAUCUAAUUUCUUCCCACAGUUUAUGUACAUUUCCUAGCCCAGGAGCAGGGAACUAUCAGGAGAAGGGAUGGAGCUCAGAGCGAGUACCCCAUCCAUCAGGGAGCAGCAGGAGGCAUAUCAGUGCCUUGACGCCUUUUUACAGUGGCAGGACAAUGCCUUCCAAAUGGGAAGAUGCUGAGAGGUGGAUAUGUAGCCCGGUUCUGGGUUAUGGUGUUGCCAAAUACUCGCAGUGUCAGCCUCAGAGGCGUCCCAAGUCCAAGAGUGGGCCUAUUGUGCCUCCAGGGAUUUCAUACUAUUCUAAUUAUUCGCCUU
rnacentral:misc_RNA from 1 species